CCCGUUACGCUCGGUGGAACUGACGCUGGGAAGUUUCCGAGGAGCUGUCGGGCUGACUUGGUAUUGGUUGGGGGGGGGGGGGAGUCUACGUUCCCCUUUAAGCGAUGUUAACUGCGUCCUUCUCCAGAUCCUUUUGAGGAGAGAUUGAAAAGGUCGGAAGUGGAGACGAAAAAUAGCCCUGCAAUUGCGAACUCGUCAGUAGAUGUUUGUGAGGACCUGGCAUGGUCGACAAGACGGGAGGGCGUUUCCCCCCACACACUCCCCGCCGCGCUGUAUUUAUUUGGUGCUUCAGUGUUUGGUCAAGUUGAGGCAGAGCGCCUGGUCCCCCGAGUUCCUGACUCAGGUUUCCACAAAAGCGUGGUUGUACGAAACACCCCGAAACUUUUCCACACGCUCACUUGUCUCUCUCUCUCACACACACACACACACACACACACAUACACACACAAUUUGUGCUUCUCAGGAAUCGGCCGACUGACUGAACACCAACUCUGCAAAAGAACAAUAGCUGAACACAUCCCACCUUCCCGGGAGAAACAGGAGGCAAGACACCCUAACACCGCACUCCCCUUUGCCGGGUGCUUAAAAACAAAAAAAGGCCGGCCAGUCGCCGCACGCUGCAUGCCGGGAUGAGUAGUUUCUCCAAGCAGCCAGGCGCCGGGUUCAGAACACAGGCGCCACACGACUCUCGGUCCCAGCCACAAGCGCUGUCCACUGUUCAUCGCCGACGGAGACAAGCAGGCCGGGGAUACUUGGUGUUUGGCCGACGACCGCCGAACUUGGGGUGCAGAGUGCAUUGCCGCCGCCGGGUAGGGCGCCUGAGGGACCUGGCCGGGAGAGGCGGAGCGGGGAUUUCUGUCAGCGCCAGCGCCCUUGAGCACCUAGACAUGAACGGCUUCACGCCUGAGGAGAUGAGCCGCGGCGGGGACGCGGCUGCCGCCGUGGCUGCGGUGGUUGCGGCUGCAGCGGCCGCCGCCUCCGCCGGGAACGGGAACGCUGCAGGCGCCGGGGCUGAGGUACCCGGCGCCGGGGCGGUCUCAGCGGCUGGGCCCCCGGGGGCGGCCGGGCCGGGCCCCGGGCAGCUAUGCUGUUUACGGGAGGACGGUGAGCGGUGCGGCCGAGCGGCUGGCAAUGCCAGCUUCAGCAAGAGGAUUCAGAAGAGCAUCUCCCAGAAGAAGGUGAAGAUCGAGCUGGAUAAGAGUGCAAGGCAUCUUUACAUUUGUGAUUAUCAUAAAAACUUAAUUCAGAGUGUCCGAAACAGAAGAAAGAGAAAAGGGAGUGAUGAUGAUGGAGGUGAUUCACCUGUUCAAGACAUUGAUACUCCAGAGGUUGACUUAUACCAAUUACAAGUAAAUACACUUAGGCGAUACAAAAGACACUUCAAGCUACCAACCAGACCAGGACUUAAUAAAGCUCAACUUGUUGAGGUGAAUAAAGUACAAAGGGAUGAAUGGAAGGAUAUGUCACAGAACUAACAAGGACCAAAAAAGGUGCCAAUUUAUCUUUCCCACCAUAUAAAGAGGAAGGAGAAAUGGUUACUUCUCUUUGCAUCUUGUACUUUGAAAGAAAGCUCUACUGUUGAAAUUUCUAUAUGGAAUUUUCAGUGAUUAGAUGCAGCUUAAGAAUGAAUUAUUUCAGGCUAUUACUCAAACUUCUUGUUGAACCCUGCUCUAGAGACCACCUGUCUCAUGAAGAAAGCCUUAGAAACUCCCCAAAGUGAACAUCUUAAGUGACAUCUAGCAUGUUUUAAGCUUACAUCCUUCUGGAAUCACUGAAACUGGAGGUGCAGGGGGGAAGCAGCUGCUGGGUUCAGCCUUCACAGUUCAGAUCCUCCCAGGAGAGAGGAUAUCCUCCAUGGCGGCUGGGUAACUAAGACAAUACAGUGGAAUGCGCGGCAAGAGGGUGAGUCUUCCAGAAGAUGAAGGGUUAUUCACAAGAAUCUGGUCUCCAUUAAGAAUAGAACAAGAGGAAAUAUGUUUGAAUUGCAGAAGGAAGAAUUUAAGCUCAAUCCACUCUCUGACAAUGUUGGUAAUCAGUACAAUAGAUAUCCAAGAGAGACUAAGCAAUAUCCUUCCUUAGAUCUGUAAAAUUGUGAUAGACAUUGUGUUGCUAACAGUUUCCAAAAAUCAUAAGGCCUUUUGAAUAUUCUAUCUAGCACUUAAAAUUUGCAUCACUCUACUCACUUUUCCAAUAUCACUCUUAAACUUUUCUAAAUUAUUCCUCUUAUUACUAUUACUUAAUCCAAUAACAUG